ACCCGCUGAACUUAAGCAUAUCAGUAAGCGGAGGAAAAGAAAAUAACAAUGAUUACCUCAGUAGCGGCGAGUGAAGAGGUAAAAGCCCAAGAUGUUAAUCUGUGUUAAAGACAUAGAAUUGUAAUCUAUGGAAUAGCUCAGAAAGCUGAAGUCCGCUAUAAGUGCCUUGGAAUAGGACGCCAGAGAAGGUGAAAGCCCUGUCUUAGAGUGGGACAAAGCAAUAUGAGAUGUUUCCAAGAGUCGGGUAGUUUGGGAAUGCUGCCCUAAAUGGGAGAUAAACUUCUCCUAAGGCUAAAUAUUUAUAGGAGACCGAUAGCAUACAAGUACUGCGAAGGAAAGAUGAAAAGAACUUUGAAAAGAGGGUUAAAAGACUUGAAAUCGUUGAAAAGGAAGCAGUAAAAGAGAAAUUAUUCAUUUAGGAAAAAGGUUUUAGGCUAAAUUAUACGAAGGUAAAUACUUUACAGGGUUUGCCCCGUAUAAUGAAAACUAACUCACUAUUUCUAGAUGAUAGACAAAAUGAGUUCGAACUUCAAGAAUAAGGCAAAGUGUUUAUUCACUAGCUCGAAGUUGAAGAUCGGACUGAGGGAUCUUAGGAUGAUUUUGUCAAAAUGGCUUUUACUGACCCGUCUUGAAACACGGACCAAGGAGUCUACCUAUUAUGCGAGUGUUCGAGUGGAAAAACUCAAACGCACACCGAAAGGGAUUUAAGAUGCGAGACGCAAGUUGCAGCAUCAACCAAUCUUGAUUCUUUGAUGAUAGACUUGAGUAAGAGCAUAAUCGGUAGGACCCGAAAGAUGGUGAACUACGGUUGAGUAGGGUGAAGCCAGGGGAAACUCUGGUGGAGGCUCGAAGCGUUACUGACGUGCAAAUCGUUCGUCAAACUUGACUGUAGGGGCGAAAGACUAAUCGAACCAUCUAGUAGCUGGUUCCCUCUGAAAUUUCUCUCAGGAUAGCAGGAACAGUUUAUGCAGUUUUAUCAGGUAAAGCUAAUGAUUAGUGGACUCGGGGUUCCGUGAGCCUUGACCAAUUCUCAAACUUUAAAUUGGUAAGAACCUUUAGUUUUCUUAAUUGAACUGGAGGGAUGAAUGCAUUGUUCUUAGUGGGCCAUUUUUGGUAAGCAGAACUGGCGAUGAGGGAUGAACCUAACGUUGAGAUAAGGUGCCAAAAUUCACGCUCAUGAGAUACCAUAAAAGGUGUUGGUUAGUUUAAACAGUUGGGCUGUGGCCAUGGAAGUCG
rnacentral:rRNA from 1 species